GUCCAUGGGAAAGCCAGAUUCACUGAACAAUCAUAGACCUACUUUAUCAGGGUACCCUAAUAAACUGCUUUUAAAUUAUCUUCCAACUCAGUUGCUUAUUGGAAAGCUUCAAACAAUGGAUCAAAGAAUUAAAAUAUGCCAAUUUUAAUCAUCCCUGGCAAAAUAAGCCAGCCAAGGUUCUGAGAUGGAAUUCAGGUGGGCACCGGUUUCUGAAUCACCUGAGAAGUCAGCCAGCACCUUCCUGAUUCCCUUACCCAAUCCGCUGUCCUUUGGACUGCAAUACAAACAUCCAUUUCCACUCUCUCAACGUAAAAUAACUCGGAGCCCCUGUAACUAUCCUGCCGGCUACUGAACUAAAGUGCAAAAUCCACUCUAGCAUGAUCAUGGAAUACCAAUACCGAUUGAAUUGCACGAAGUUGCAACAAAUACAAUUAAAAUUGGUUAAAGGAAGAUCACCCUAAAUGUAGCCACUUGUCAAAAAUGGUGUAGGGUCUCCUGCUUGGGCGGGUGGGGGGUGGGGAAUUGGACUAGAUGACCUACAAGGUCCCUUCCAAAUCUGAUUAUCUGUAUCUCUAGCCACCAUCCUGCUCUCCGUCCCGAGAAAUUGAUUCUAUCCUCCUUUUCCCC